GUGAUCAAAGUGUUUCCUUUUGUGAUUUUAAUUUAUGAUUCUAGAAUAUUACAGGGACAAAAAAUGCAGACUCAUUAGUGAAUGAGCACGUGAUAUAAGUAGCCAAUCAUGGUGAAAGCCUGAUUUCAUAGAAGUCAAGCUUCUUAUUUCGUUAAUUCCAUUAUCUUCAUUUCUCCUUAAAUUUUCUUAAUAGGCAUUCUGCAAAAUAUGUUUAUUUCUGUUUGCUCCAUUUACUGGAGAGAGCAGGUUUAGGUUUUGCCUGACAAAGCACAUGACUAUAUAUGUCUUUUUCUGUCUAGUCUCAGCUUAUUUCCAUAUGAGUAAGAAACUUGGAAACAUAAGAUUCCUGAUGUUCUGUUGCAACAGUGCAGCUCCAGUUUGUCUGUUGAAUACAUUCCUCUAACAUUUUACAUAUGAAAUUCCAGUUUUAUGCCAGCAAUUAGUAGUGUCAUGUGAGUGGAUACAGAAUCCUGCCGGGCAUCUGCUUAAAAUACUGUCUGUUUACAGAAGAGAUUUUACAGUGCCAAGACUCUUGUAAUGCAUGAUAUUAACCUGGGAAAGCAAAUUGCUAUCCCUGCAACACAGAGAACGCAGCUGAACGACUGCUGCUUCAAUGCAGCUCUUCACCUUCAAAAAAAAAUUUAGAGAGUAGAAAUUUCAGAUUACACUGCUAGCUGGAAUUUCUCUUCACCAAAACAAACUUGAAUAUGAAGGCAGCCUUUUUGAGGGGCUGCUGGAAACAAGACAGGAAAUUUGUGAAAAGGAGUAUUCUGGUAGAUGACACUGGUUGGAGGAAAGGAUGGGGGAAGAAUGCAAAGAAGCUGCCAGAAAAGUAAGAUGGAGAGGAAGAAACUAGGCUUCAUGGGAAGACUCCUCCAAAGCACUGCAGUGUCUUGGGAUGGCAUCAUCAUUCUGUUGAGAUUGAUGGGAUUUUACUCCUGGCAGUAGCGCAGCGAGGAUCUCACUCUUGAUGCCUAUCACUCAGACGUGACCUUGCAGGCAAGGAAGUUAUUGCAAUUCAGAAUGCCUCAAAAAAACCCUCGUGUCACAUGCCCAUUGCAUUCAUCAUGAAGGACAGUCUUUGUGCUUAUUGCAUCUAAAGAUCAUCCAAGUCAAAUUUGUGCAUCAGAUUGCUUUGUUUACAGAGCAGGAGGAAAGCUGGGCAUGUCUGGAUUCAUCCCAUACGUUGACUCACAACUAUCUUGAUCAAAGCCAAAACCACUCCUAGUAACACUUUCAGGCACCGACAGCAGUUGCCAACCACCAAGAAGAGGUAACAGCAGAGACAAGCUUUAGAUCUGCUUUAACCUGAAACUCGAGUCUUUGUGCAAGGGGAUUUUAGCUACAGGAAAUAGGAAUUUGAGGCACAUCAGGGUCCUCUCUUCAGUAAUAUUGAUCAGCGGCUUUAUAAGCAGUGAAAGUGCUUGCAUCUGGAAAGCUCUCCCUAGCUACACUCUUCUGUGCCAAAAUUGGAAAGUAUUUGUGCCAGCUCCUAGACUGAGGACCAUCAACUAUCUACUUUGGUAUUUGCUGCAUGAGCUGUUGAGAAACGAGAAGGACAUUCGUUAUUUGCUUUGAAUAUUUUUAGAAUUAUUCUCUUGUGGAUCUAGUUUUCGUGUAAUUUCUGUUGUUAACUGAGGACAGAGGAACACGGAUGGACAUAAAGGGUGCACCAAGGUCACUAAGAGGCGCUCGCUACUCUCACAGGCAACCGUGCGCUGAAGGUGAGGUCCAGAAGGGGUCACUGAACCCGCGUGGGGGCUUCCAGGUGCACUCAGCUGGACAGUCUUUCCUCAUAUACCUCAAGCUAUAGAGUACCUUUCUCACUUUAUAGCAGCGGUAAUGAUUUAGUACAAGAGACUGGAGGCUUCAAAAGCUCCACUGUGCUGCAGAACAAAAAAAAUAGGAGAGAUUUUGUGCUGAAUGAGGAAAAGUGUUUUCUUCGGCAGGCUAACUACAGUGCAGCUAGAAGACUUACAGCUUGUGAGCAGUAUGCUAUGUCGUGAAAAGUAGCAGGAGGCUUAUGGACAGAUACAAUGCACAUACAGACAUGCAAGGGAUAUUUUAAAUCGCUUUCAGGUUUUAAGACAAAAUAAAUUGGGCCUCAGUCUUAUCUUUUGUAAAGGGUUAUUUACUCUUAUACAUAAGUCAAAAAAUAUUGGUUUUGAUCAUCUCAAACAGUUUUUUUAAUUCAUGCAUUUUUUAGCAAAAUCUAGAUAGAGCAUCUCUGUUUAUUCACCUGUUCUUGUAAACAGAGCAAAAUAUCUAAAUGACUCCUAGCUGCACCAUAGUCACCAUCUGAAAAAUUCAGGAUGACUAUUUAUCCCAGCUUCUGAUGUGUAGGGGGGCAGAGUCUCCUGUCUUCAAGCUUUGUAAUUUGGAAGUUUCCUUUAGGAAAAAGGCUUCAAUGCCUGUUUUUACCUUGCACUCCAUCUUUAGCACAUACAAAAUGGAAAUGAGUAAGAAACUAUACUAUCUCUGACUUGCAGUUUCUUGGUCCUUCAGACCUUCCACUUCCAAUAUACUGGUCUAUUAGAUGCAGGCAGCACAGCUGUGUUCACCUUCUUCUCCACCUCUGUUUUAAAAUAAAGCAUCUGUAGCAACUCUAUUUUUGUGACGUGUCCAGAAUUGGCUGCUGGGUUAGGCAUCACCCGGUAACGCCUAUUACACUGAACACUUUGCAGGUGUUCCUCAGGGGAGUAUGAGCAUCAUCUCUGGAUGCUCCUCACCCAGCUUAUGUGUAAGCCAGGCACCAAGGUGCUUGCUCCAACCGGGCAGGUACAGACACAGCAGUAUACACAUACAUGGCUGAGGAACUCUGAAUAAAAUGAUUUGUCUAUGGAGUUUACAUUGUUCUAGGGGUAGGCAAGAAGUGGGCUAGAUUUUCAGGGUUGCCACUUUGGAUUUGCAUUUCAUUUUACUAGCCAGCCUUUUUUCUAGAUUUGACAAGUCAUGUCCUAAUAUCAUAGAUAUGUAUGAAAAAGCCCUUUCUACUGAAAUCUGUUUCUGUUUUGAUUUACAGACUGCACAUAGUGACAGUAACAGAACAAUUUGCUUAGCCUUUCGAAAGACUAAAUGUGUAAGACUGUGUAAGUCAGCAGUUGUCUACCAGAGCUUGCUUGUUAAAACAUUGAAUUAUUUUUAUCGCUGUGAGCAUUACUGUGAACUCUGAGCUACGGAAUGGCUCAUAUCUAGACCAGCUUCUACUAUCCAAAUGUUUUGCUUGAAGAGUAAAAUCAAACUGUAUUUAUAGUCAAAUUCUUCUUAUUUGUGAAAUAAUCUUAAUUGAACAGUGCUUUUAAUGGAGUUUACAUUGAGGAAAAUUGGAACAGCCCUACUUUAUGAUAUUCUCUGCAGUUACCUGAAUGCUCUGUCCCUGAAAGAGAGCUUUCUGCAUUGAAGCACAGAUUUGUUUUGUUUUGAGUCCUACAGUAAAAUCAUCUGGAAGGACACAUAAGCUAACUUCAGAGAAGGGGUCACUGGCUGUAGCUCUGUGCUACAGAAGGGAGCCUCUGAAGAAGGGUAGGGUCUAUAAGUGGGAUCUGUGGGGAAAUCCCACCCAUCCCAGAACAGCUGCUUUUCUUUUGGAUCAUGGUAUGGCGAGGAGCUGUUUUAUUCUCCCUGGCGAUCACAUUGGAUGAAGUCAAUCUGAGCCUUUAUGUUAUAUUUGGCAGGGUGGGACUGCGGCAGCGACCUUCCAAGGGAAAGAAGGCAGGACUUUGUUAAAGGGGAAACAAAGUACUGUCAGUAUCUAAAUCCAAUUAUAAACUAGGGCAGGCAGAAUAAAUGUUUUUUGGAAGUAUGGGAAGCCUUAAAAAUACCUGAUGUAAUCAAAAGCAGUAUGUUCACCUCUAAGACAUCAUUUAUAAUAAUAUGUGGACUAUUUCUUACCCCAUCUUCCUUCACGGAACUGCUUUUGGCAAAAUAAAAACAGAUUUCUUUGGAGGAUUGUAUUUAUGCAAAUAUUUAAUUGAUAGUGACUAAAUUAAAUUAGCCCUGUGUGUCUUCUUCAGGCACAUGUCA